GACGAACGCUGGCGGCGUGCUUAACACAUGCAAGUCGAACGGUAAGGCCCUUCGGGGUACACGAGUGGCGAACGGGUGAGUAACACGUGGGUGAUCUGCCCUGCACCUCGGGAUAAGCCUGGGAAACUGGGUCUAAUACCGGAUAGGACCACUGCCUGCAUGGGUGGUGGUGGAAAGCUUUUGCGGUGUGGGAUGGGCCCGCGGCCUAUCAGCUUGUUGGUGGGGUGAUGGCCUACCAAGGCGACGACGGGUAGCCGGCCUGAGAGGGUGACCGGCCACACUGGGACUGAGAUACGGACCAGACUACUACGGGAGGCAGCAGUGGGGAAUAUUGCACAAUGGGCGCAAGCCUGAUGCAGCGACGCCGCGUGAGGGAUGACGGCGUUCGGGUUGUAAACCUCUUUCAGCACCGACGAAGCGCAAGUGACGGUAGGUGCAGAAGAAGGACCGGCCAACUACGUGCCAGCCGCCGCGGUAA
rnacentral:rRNA from 1 species